rnacentral:piRNA from 1 species
UAAACAAGGGUACAGGUGAUAUUCUCAAGGU